AUUGAACGCUGGCGGCAGGCCUAACACAUGCAAGUCGAGCGAGCGGCGGACGGGUGAGUAAUGUCUGGGAAAAUGCCUGAUGGAGGGGGAUAACUACUGGAAACGGUAGCUAAUACCGCAUACCAUCAGAUGUGCCCAGAGGGGAUUAGCUAGUAGGGGGGGUAAUGGCUCACCUAGGCGACGAUCCCUAGCUGGUCUGAGAGGAUGACCAGCCACACUGGAACUGAGACACGGUCCAGACUCCGUCGGGAGGCAGCAGUGGGGAAUAUUGCACAAUGGGCGCAAGCCUGAUGCAGCCAUGCCGCGUGUGUGAAGAAGGCCUUCGGGUUGUAAAGCACUUUCAGCGGGGAGGCGUUACCCGCAGAAGAAGCACCGGCUAACUCCGUGCCAGCCGCCGCGGUAAUUC
rnacentral:rRNA from 1 species